ensembl:lncRNA
GUAAGUAUUUGUUUAUUCACACAACUUCCAAAUGAACCCCCUUCCUUAAGCCUUAGCUUAAGGCUUAAACCAGAAGAGCACCCAGCAUGCUUCCUGGAGCUGAAUGCAGCUCAGGCGAAUUCAACUCACUUGGGUUUUUUUUUAACCUGUAGGGUGAUUUUCCCUUUCUUCUUUUCAUUUUGCUGCAGGUGAAGACCACAAGGUUCCUGCACACACCCAGAAAUCGUAAUUUCUACUGUUGGAAUGAAGCCCUUGAGUGAGAUGUUGAGAUAAAGCACUGAAACAAGUUUUUUGGGGUCAAGUUUAUAUGAUCUUUUCAAAACAUAAUUGGUUCUUUGCAUCUGUUCAGUCUAACCUACCGCUUAGAGCACUGCCAUGGGGGGUGGACUGCGGGAGCUGCUGCCAGAUCUUGCCUUCCAUCCUUCUUCCUACAAAGCACACAUGUGCAGUCAGGCCUGCGGGUUGUGCAUCGGUCUACUGAGGAAUCCAUGCUGUGUUGCCACAGAUAAUGAUGUUGAUGCACACGGAUAGCGAGGUAUUGAGCUGGCAGCUGUUUUCUUGCCCCUAUCUUAUAACACCAGACGGCGUCAGGGGUGGCAGCCACACAACUUGGGUAUCCUGUGGGCAUCUCAGCUCCUGCUGGCCAAGGUGAAAGCUGCCUGGUGCUCAGCACUGCUCCUGUCUCCCUGGGCUGAGAUCGGAGCUUGGGGCAGCCCCAAGUGCUGGAUGACAGUGGAAAUUCCAGUGUGAAUGCUCUCCAUCCCUCCCCUCAGCAAUAACGCCACUCCAGCGCUCUCCUCAAGGUCCUGGCAAGCUUUUCAGACCUCAUCACGUCUCGGGAUGGUACAUUACUGCCAAUAAACUCCGCGUGCUGUAAAUUAAUUCGCUCCUGUGAUGUGCAAACACUCUUCUCGGCGGAGCAGCGCUGUUACUCAACAGGAAGCAUCCGCAGCCUGACCCGGAGCGUGUCCUUGACUAACGUUCACAAGCACCGCGCAACAGCGGCGCUCCGGGCGCCGGGCCCCCACACGGCCGGCUGCGGGGCCGCGUUCGGCCCGGAUCAGGGGGUGACACCGGGGGGGGGGGGGCAGUGGGGGUGCCCCGUCCCGCACACAACCGGCGGGUUCGCCCCGCGCUGCCUCAGGCGGCGCCGCGGAACGUUCUAGGGCCGCGGGCGGGGCGAGGGGCGCGCGGAGCACCCCCCCACCGCCGCCGCGACGCGCGCAACCGCCUCAAGCUUGUCCCUCGCGGCGCGCCGUCCGCCC